GGGACAGAGCAGCAAGGACAGGGAGGGGACUUGGUUCAUGGGGUCCCCGGCGGGCACUGGGAGCCCAGCAGCUCCUCUCUGCCCCAGCAGCAGCUGCUGCUUAGGACCAGUGGCAGCUGGGAGGUUUCUGGAAGCAGAGGCGGGGCGAGGAGGAAAGCGCAUCUGAGGCAAACGUCCUGCAAGAGCUGUGCUGGCUAAAUGCUGCUGUCCCAGCUCCAGACUCUUCAUGAAGAGGAUCUGGCUUCCUGGCCUGAGGCCCAGAAAUCCCGAAGAACCCCAUAGAGAUGAACAAAUCAUCAGCGCUAUUCUCCAGUUGCUCAGCAGGGCAAGGAUUUGUGCCUGGCCUUCCAGGUACUUUUGGAGUAAGAGGAUGCUGAGGUUGACCUCUGAGUUCCUCCAGGUGACAGAGCAGAUGCACCAUGAACAGGUCCAAUGAGGCCUCCCCUGUGUUGGGGUUCGUUCUCCUGGGCCUCUCUGCCCACCCAUAGCUGGAGAAGACAUUCUUUGUGUUCAUCCUGCUGGUGUACCUGGUGAUCCUGCUGGGCAACGGGGUCCUCAUCCUGGUGACCAUCCUUGACUCCCGCCUGCACACACCCAUGUACUUCUUCCUGGGGAACCUCUCCUUCCUGGACAUCUGCUAUACAACCUCCUCAUCCUUGACAGCUUCCUGACCCCCAGGAAAACCAUCUCCUUCUCAGCCUGUGCAGUACAGAUGUUCCUCUCCUUUGCCAUGGGAGCCACAGAGUGUGUUCUCCUGAGCAUGAUGGCUUUUGAUCACUACCUGGACAUGUGCAACCCCCUUAGGUACCCUGUGGUCAUGAGCAAGGCUGCCUACAUGCCCAUGGCUGUUGGCUCCUGGGCAGCUGGUAUCACCAACUCUGUAGUACAGAUAUCCCUAGCAAUGUGACUGCCCUUCUGUGGGGACAAUGUCAUCAAUCACUUCACCUGUGAGAUCCUGGCAGUUCUAAAGUUGGCCUGUGCUGACAUCUGCAUCAACGUGAUCAGCAUGGUUGUGACCAACAUGAUCUUCCUUGCACUCCCAGUCCUGUUUAUUUUUGUCUCAUAUGUCUUCAUCAUUGCCACCAUCCUGAGAAUCCCCUCAGCUGAGGGGAGGAAAAAGGCCUUCUCCACCUGCUCUGCCCACCUCACUGUCGUGAUCGUCUUCUAUGGGAUGAUCCUCUUCAUGUAUGGGAAGCCCAAGUCUAAGGACCCAAUGGGAGCAGACAAACAGGACCUUGCAGACAAACUCAUCUCCAUUUUCUAUGGAGUGGUGACCCCCAUUCUCAACCCCAUCAUCUACAGCCCGAGGAACAAAGAUUUGAAAGCUGCUAUGAGGAACCUGGUGGCUCAAAAACACCUAACAGAGUGACUAUCACAGAUCCCCAGACUGCGAGAAUGCAUAACCUCCAAAUUCCUCAUUGUUCUUUUGGGGAAAUGGUAACCAGGGAGGACCUUAGACUGUCAAUAGAAAGAACCAUAAAAUUUCUGAGGCUGCUGGUUAGUUUGCUGGCUUUACACAGAAUCGUGCUGUGUCAUAUCAUAGCUAUAUUUUACUGACUAAAUCUUAAAUUCUUUGAUACAGAAUUUGAUGAAUAUCCAUAAGAGUUAUAGAGGUGGUCAAAAGAGACAAACAAACAAAAAUUUUAGUGGUACUGGGAUCUUGGAGGAUACAGGAUAUGGUUGGGCUCUGUGUCCCUGCCCAAAUCUCCUGUCGAAUUGUAAUCCCCAGUGUUGGAGGAGGGGCCUGGUAAGAGGUGAUUGGAUCAUGGGGGCAGAUUUCCCCCUUGCUGUUCUCAUGAUAGUGAGUCAGUUCCCAUGAGAUCUAGAUGUUUAAAAGUGUGUAGCACCUCCUGUUUCAC
ensembl:lncRNA novel transcript